GAUGAAGAACGCAGCGAAAUGCGAAAAGUAAUGUGAAUUGCAGAAUUCAGUGAACCAUCGAAUCUUUGAACGCACAUUGCGCCCGCUGGAACUCCGGCGGGCACGCCUGUCCGAGCGUCAUUUCAACCCUCAGGCCCCCCUUAGCGGGCGGGCCUGGUGUUGGGGCCCGGCCGCUACCCUGCGGCCGUCCCCUAAAUCCAGUGGCGGCCUCGCCGUGAUCCCUUGCGUAGUAAUGCACCUCGCACCGGAGAGCGCCGUGGCCACGCCGUAAAACCCCCAAUUUUCAAUGGUUGACCUCGGAUCAGGUGGGAAUACCCGCUGAACUUAAGCAUAUCAAUAAGCGGAGGA
rnacentral:misc_RNA from 1 species